ACAGCCAUACAUACUUAAAAACACACUUAUAUACCUCAAACACAGCCAUACAUACACUCAUAUACCUCAAACACAGCCAUACAUACACUUAUAUACCUCAAACACUCGUAAACACAGCCAAACACACUCAUACCCGUGGUGGUAUUUAGUGUUAGUCCUCAGUCUUGCCACACACACACACACAGACAGACAUGCCCCCAAACACUCUUAAACACCAAAUAACACACACAGACAUAAGUGUGCAGUGUUUAGGAGCACCAAGCAGUGAGUGAGACAGCAGUACACGGUGUCAGCGUACACCACAAUCCUCCACAGCGUUCAUGUGUGAGGCUCAGGCGUGUAGAUGGAAGCAACAGAAAGACUAAAAAAGGGAAACAGAGGAGGAGGAAUGAGAAAGGGAAGCGGAAGAAGAGGAGGAGUCAAGCCACAACAUUUAGGAGCUGCCGAUACAAAGGCCUGACCCAGAAGAAAUUCUGCGUCACCUGUACCAUCAAGAUCAAGAUCAAGACCGAGGCGGCCCUCCCACCGGCGCUGCCGCCACAACCACCCUCUCUUGUGGCAGGGGCUGGCAGGGACGCGCUGGGACGCAUCCUCUUCACCGACCCACACAAAUACAAGGACGCCAUAUACAAGAGGUGGACACAGCGGGAAAAGAAGAAAAAAGAACUUCAACAUUAGCGGAACAAAGAACGAGAAGAAGUAAGGAGCUUCCGUUGCAACAUCUACAUCUACAUCUACCACUAAUGGCCACCGGGAUACGUGUCUUAUUUAAUGAUUUCCGAGGCCCCUGGCGGUCAUGGAGGGCGGUGAGCAGUGCCUGGGGUCAUGUUGCUUGUGUGGCCGGUGUGAAUGUGACCGGGGGCUUGGCAGGGGUGAUGGGAGGCUUGGCAAGGGUGGCAGGGGGGCGAGGUACAGAAAAUACCCCCCGGCGUACAUGCCCU